AAUCUUCAACCCGCCUGUUUCUUGUUAAACAUGAGUGGUGCUUGGAUCUGUGGGCGUCUCUGCCGGCUCCAAUUGAGGGGCUGGCUCGCCUGGAACGCAGCAAAAGCAGCAUCAUCCUUUGACAUCUGGCUUGACUUGGCGUGAUAGGUUAUUUCGCUGAGGACAACACUUUGCGUGUUGGCCGAGUCGUUGGAUGAGGGCUACCAAUGAAAACAUAGACACCAAUA
rnacentral:misc_RNA from 1 species